rnacentral:rRNA from 1 species
UACGUAGGAUGCUAGCGUUGUCCGGAUUUAUUGGGCGUAAAGAGCGUGUAGGCGGCCAGACAGGUCCGUUGUGAAAACUCGAGGCUCAACCUCGAGACGUCGAUGGAAACCGUCUGGCUAGAGUCCGGAAGAGGAGUGUGGAAUUCCUGGUGUAGCGGUGAAAUGCGCAGAUAUCAGGAAGAACACCUAUGGCGAAGGCAGCACUCUGGGACGGUACUGACGCUGAGACGCGAAAGCGUGGGGAGCGAACAGG